rnacentral:ncRNA from 1 species
UAUUCAUCAAGAGUGGCGGAGGGAAUGGCCCUGUGAUGCCCGGCAACCUACUUAAAUAUUAAAGUAAGGUGCUAAUUCCAGCAUUCCAAUUAUGGAAUGAUAGAUGAGAG